GUGUAAUGCGAUGAGAGGACGGAGAAGGUUAAGUCAGCCUGGCGUUGGUUGUCCAGGUGGAAGGAAGUAGGCAUGCAUCUUAGGCAAAUCCGGGGUGCUCUAUGCUGAGAUCUGAUAGCAAGCUGUACUUGUACAGCGAAGUGGCUGAUACCAUGCUUCCAGGAAAAGUCUCUAAGCUUCAGUUACACAGGAAUCGUACCCUAAACCGACACAGGUGGUCAGGUCG
rnacentral:rRNA from 1 species